AAAAUCAAUUCAUGGUACCCAACAAAGCUUCAACCUCAAAGCUUCACCUACAAAGCUUCAACACCAAAACUUCACCUACAAAAGCUUCACACUAUCUUGAUCAAGAUAAUGUGAAGCAAAAUCAAUUCAUGGUACCCAACAAAGCUUAAACCUCAAAGCUUCACCUACAAAACUUCAACACCAAAGCUUCACCUACAAAGCUUUAAAAAAAAAAAAAAAAAUUUCGAAAAUUCGGAAAUUCAGAAAUUCGAAAAUUAGAAAAUUAGAAAAAAAAAAUUUCAAAAAAAAAA
rnacentral:lncRNA from 1 species